rnacentral:rRNA from 1 species
UACGUAGGGUGCGAGCGUUGUUCGGAUUCAUUGGGCGUAAAGGGUGCGUAGGCGGCGGGGUAAGUCUGAUGUGAAAGGCUGGGGCUCAACCUCAGUAUGGCAUUGGAUACUGCCUUGCUAGAGUCCUGGAGAGGAGACUGGAAUUUACGGUGUAGCAGUGAAAUGCGUAGAGAUCGUAAGGAAGACCAGUGGCGAAGGCGAGUCUCUGGACAGGAACUGACGCUGAGGCACGAAGGCCAGGGGAGCAAACGGG